rnacentral:rRNA from 1 species
GAUGAACGCUGGCGGCGUGCUUAACACAUGCAAGUCGAACGAAGCACCUUGAUUUGAUUCUUCGGAUGAAGAUCUUGGUGACUGAGUGGCGGACGGGUGAGUAACGCGUGGGUAACCUGCCUCAUACAGGGGGAUAACAGUUAGAAAUGACUGCUAAUACCGCAUAAGACCACAGUACCGCAUGGUACAGGGGUAAAAACUCCGGUGGUAUGAGAUGGACCCGCGUCUGAUUAGGUAGUUGGUGGGGUAACGGCCUACCAAGCCGACGAUCAGUAGCCGGCCUGCGAGGGUGCCCGGCCACAUUGGGGCUGAGACACGGCCCAAACUCCUACGGGAGGCAGCAGUGGGGAAUAUUGCACAAUGGGGGAAACCCUGAUGCAGCGACGCCGCGUGAGCGAUGAAGUAUUUCGGUAUGUAAAGCUCUAUCAGCAGGGAAGAAAAUGACGGUACCUGACUAAGAAGCACCGGCUAAAUACGUGCCAGCCGCCGCAGUAACAC